rnacentral:rRNA from 1 species
AGCUCCAAUAGCGUAUAUUAAAGUUGUUGCAGUUAAAAAGCUCGUAGUUGGAUUUCUGCUGGAAGCGACCUGUCCGCUCUUAACGAGUGUGUACGUGGUUUUGGUUUCAGCAUCCUUCUGGAAGACGUGUUGCACUUCAUUGUGUGAUGCGGAGUCCAGGACUUUUACUUUGAAUAAAUUAGAGUGUUUCAAGCAGGCUUUUGCUUUGAAUGCUGCAGCAUGGAAUAAUAAUAUAGGACUUUGGUUCUAUUUUGUUGGUUCCUAGGACUGAAGUAAUGAUUAAUAGGGACAGUUGGGGGCAUUCGUACUUAACUGCUAGAGGUGAAAUUCUUAGAUUUGUUAAAGACGAACUACUGCGAAAGCAUUUGCCAAGGAUGUUUUCGUUAAUCAAGAACGAAAG